rnacentral:rRNA from 1 species
UACAGGGGGUGCAAACGUUGCUCGGAAUUAUUGGGCGUAAAGCGCGCGUAGGCGGCCACUUAAGUCGGAUGUGAAAGCCCCUGGCUCAACUGGGGAAGUGCACCCGAAACUGAAUGGCUUGAAUACAAAAGAGGGUCGCGGAAUUCCCGGUGUAGAGGUGAAAUGCGUAGAGAUCGGAAGGAACGUCAAUGGCGAAGGCAGCCACCUGGCAUGAUACUGACGCUGAGGCGCGAAAGCGUGGGGAGCGAACAGG